AGUGGGGAAUAUUGCACAAUGGGGGAAACCCUGAUGCAGCGACGCCGCGUGAGUGAAGAAGUAUUUCGGUAUGUAAAGCUCUAUCAGUAGGGAAGAAAGAAAUGACGGUACCUAACUAAGAAGCCCCGGCUAACUACGUGCCAGCAGCCGCGGUAAUACGUAGGGGGCAAGCGUUAUCCGGAUUUACUGGGUGUAAAGGGAGCGUAGGUGGCAAGAUAAGUCAGAUGUGAAAACCCAGGGCUCAACCCUGGGACUGCAUUUGAAACUAUCUCGCUAGAGUGCAGGAGAGGUAAGUGGAAUUCCUAGUGUAGCGGUGAAAUGCGUAGAUAUUAGGAGGAACACCAGUGGCGAAGGCGGCUUACUGGACUGUAACUGACACUGAGGCUCGAAAGCGUGGGGAGCAAA
rnacentral:rRNA from 1 species